rnacentral:snRNA from 1 species
AUCGCUUCUCGGCCUUUUGGCUAAGAUCAAGUGUAGAAAAGUAAAAGAAUCUGACUUUGUAAUUAUGGUAAUUCUCCAUGAAAACUGUAUUAGAGUGGGUUAUGCAGAGGUAUUUUUAUUCAGAAAUUGCAAUGAAAAAGGAUAUGGAUGCUCUUGGUUUGCAAAAAAUCAAGCCAGAUCUUUCCUCA